AGUUCCCACCGCCGGGCACCGAAACACCCCGCUUUUUGUUUUGUGCCCGGCCGGUCUCAGAGGUGGUAUACAUCGAGAUGAGAGGCGUCGACUACACAGCGACUGUGCCGGAGCUUUUAAGUGCAAUGUCAGAUCCAGCCCCCAAAGCAAUUGUAAACUGUCCAGGCCCAGCACAACUUAAGAAAACCUCCUCACAAUAAAUAUCUGCUGUACUUAGAUCUAAUUCAUAAGAUAAUAUAUUUCACUUAAGAUCAGAAAACUCACCAUUAAUUAUGUGCUAGAUAGAUGGUUUUUGGGCAUACAAAUCAACUUGUCCAGAACAUUCUUCUCUCAAAUCCACUUGAUUUGAUAUCCCAAGGCCGUUAAAAUGAAUUUCUCUAACCUGGCAAUCGAUGUAAAUCAUUAGUCCAUUUAACCAUAAAAAGUCAAUAAAACAAACGCAAAAUGCUGUACAUAAAAAUUAAUUGCAUUGCUCGGGCCAAAACAUUUUGGCGAACUAGUGGGGUGAAACAAAAACAAAUAAAUAAGUUAAACAGGUUCUGAACAACUCGUUGUUGGGCCCAUUAGAGGUGGUGUAUGCAGUUAUUGGGGUCGCCAUUGAGCGAUUGCUGGUUGUUUUGGUCAGGUUGGGGCACUAGAUGUUGGCCCUGAAACCGAAACUUUGGCGGAGCGUGUGAACAACCCAAACAAGCUGGCGAAAAUUCGCAAUAUAAUGCAGGUCGAGUGGCCAUUGUGAUGGAUUUUCUAGAUGGCUAGAUGACGUUCUCCACUCUCUAUACUUAAUACCUAAUUCCCGAUAAUCUUGCUUAGAAAGCGCUUGAUUUAUGGGGCUGUCGCCUUUUAUCUUGGCCCGUGACGUAUGGCUCAUCGGUGUCCAGUUCGUUUUUGCUAAAAUGCUGUGUGGCUGUCAUAAAUUAAUCCACUUAAAUUGUAUUAUAUAAGCUGGCUGGCUGGCGUGAGUUUCUGAAUUGUAUUUCUUUGUUUUAUUUGUGUUGAUAGCUUGUUUGACUGACCUGCCCCAACUUGGAAUGUUUUUUUUUGCGUUCUACUAUAUAUUAUAUGAAUAUACUGAUUCAUUGGCAUGCAAGGCAAUGAAUAACGCGGUAGCAGCUGUAUGAAACACAAAAUAUUAGUGUGAAUUUUAUUUAUGAACAAUUUGAUGACUCUUCUGGGUAUUUUCUGUUCUGAUGCUCAAAGCUAAGUAAAAGAAACUAUGGAAUUGGGAGCUGUUCGCUUGUGGCUCCCAUAUGGUCUAGUGGCUAGGAUAUCUGGCUUUCACCCAGAAGGCCCGGGUUCGAUUCCCGGUAUGGGAAAACUUUUUGCCACUUUUUUUUUUCUUUUUUCUUUCGCAUUUCUUGGAGGUUAACCGGAUAUCAAACACACAUACACAUUGGUGGUUUUUUUCUAGUUAGCCUUUAGUGGUAUUCCCAAAAA